UUCCUUCCUUUUCUUCUUUCUCUCUUUCUUUCUUUCUCUCUUGGUCUCCUUAGGGCUGCACCCAUGGCACAUGGAGGUUCCCAGGCUAGAGGUCGAAUCGGAGCUGUAGCUGCUGGCCUGUGCCACAGUCACAGCAACACCAGAUCUAAGCCUUGUCUGCGACCUAUAUAGAGCUCAUGGCAACGCUGGAUCCUUAACCCACUGAGCGAGGCCAGGGAUUGAAACUUCACCCUCAUGGAUACUAGUUAGAUUCGUUUCUGCUGAGCCACGACAGGAACUCCUAAUUUUUAAGCUGCCAGAAACAUCCCUGAUGGAUAUACUGGGAGAUACCAACAUCUCCUAUGACUUCAACUACCAGCCUCCUGCUGACUCCUGCCACGUUUAUGUUUAAUCCAGACCUCUGGGCUGCAGCAUCGUAGAAUCUUCAUCUGGACAUCCCUCAAACCUAGUUUCUAAGACAAACUCCAUCUAUAUAUCUUCUCAUUCUCAGAGCAAGUCAAUUUGCCUUUGGUCAUCUUUCCAUACUUUACUCAUACCUCUGCUAGAGAACUUGUCCCAUAGGUUUGUUUAUUUUAAUGGUCUUCUACUCUAGAAUUUAAACUCCCGAAGGGCUGGAAACUUCUGUUUUUAAAUUCCUAGUAUCGAGUAGGAGCUCAUUAGUUUUUUGUUGAACAAAUUAUUCCCUUUUUUUUUUUUUUUUUUUGGCUGCACUCAUCACAUAUGGAUGUUCCUGGGCCAGGCAUCAAAUCUGAGCUGCAGCUGUGACCUCUGCCACAGCUGCAGCAAUGCCUGGUCCUUAACCCAAUGCACCACAGUGGGAACUCCUGAACAAAUUAAUUAGUGAAUAUUCAGGAUGGUCAGGAGCUCCUCUUGAGGCGCAGUGGAAACGAAUCCAACUAGGAAUCAUGAGGUUUUGGGUUUGAUUUCUGACCUCGCUUAGUGAGUUAAGGAUCCAGCAUUGCCGUGAACUGUGGUGUAGGUCGCAGAUGUGUUUCGGAUCUGGCGUUGCUGUGGCUGUGGUGUAGGUUGCAGAUGUGGCUUGGAUCCUGCAUUGCUGUGGCUGUGGCAUAGGCUGGCAACUAUAGCUCUGAUUCGACCCCUAGCCUGGGAACCUCCAUGUGCUACAGGGGUGGCCCUGAAAAAAAAAAAAAAGAAGAGGGAGUAUCUACUGAAUAGUUGAUCAGUGAUGCUUGCCACUGAUGUGCUCUGCCUGGUCCAAGUUCUCCUAGAAUCCUCACUGCUUCCUUGGUCACUUCUAAUGUACAUGUGGCUCUGUGGUGAAUUUGCUCUGAUGCAGGAAAAAUCCCUAAAUGCUCUGCAUGUAGUGAUCCAUAGCUGAGGCUGAUUACGUGCAAUUUUAGAACUUUGUGAACUUGCCCUCCAACAGGGCUGCUGCAGAGAGUUGUGAGGGUUGAUGUUGCACAUGGGGGCCUGGGUUAAGGGGACAAAAACAGGCCUGAAAAUUCAGCUUCAGCUCUGCUUACUCAGCCCUACACUGUGGUAGGGGGUUGCAUCUCCUUGGGGCUGGAGGUGUCUUGUUCCAAUUCCCUUUUUUUUUUUCUUUUUAUGGCUGCACCUGUGGCAUAUGGACGUUCCCAGGCUAGGGGUUGAAUCAGAGCUGCAGCUGCAGGCCUGCUGCAGCUACAGCAACACUAAAGCUGAGCCACAUCUGCCACCUAUGCUACAACUUGUGGCAAUGCCAGAUCCUUAGCCCACUGUGCAAGGUCAGGGAUUGAACCUGCAUCUUCUUGGACACGAUGUUGGGUUCUUAAUUUGCUGAGUCACAAUGGGAACUCCAUUGUUCCAAUUCUCACAGAGGCAAGCUAAGGGCUGGGGCUGCCCUGCCUUCCCGAAAGGCUGUAACAAUUUACAUACCCACCAACAGUGUGAGAGAAUGUGCUUAUCUCUGCACCUUCUCCCUUGCAAGAUAUUAUG
rnacentral:lncRNA from 1 species